AUUCCCCUAGUAACGGCGAGUGAAGCGGGAUGAGCUCAAGCUUAAAAUCUCCAUAGGAGUUUCCUGUGGCGAAUUGUAGUCUAUAGAGGCGCUGUCAGUGCGGCUGUUCGGGAUAAGUCUCUUGGAAAAGAGCAGCAUGGAGGGUGAUACUCCCGUUCUUGCCUGAGCAGCUUGCGCGUACGACACGUUUUCUUUGAGUCGCGUUGUUUGGGAAUGCAGCGCAAAGUGGGUGGUAAAUUCCAUCUAAAGCUAAAUAUUGGUGCGAGACCGAUAGCGAACAAGUACCGUGAGGGAAAGAUGAAAAGAACUUUGAAAAGAGAGUUAAAGAGUACCUGAAACUGCUGAAAGGGAACCGAAUCGUUUCCAGUGUCUAUAAUCCGUAGCAUAUUUCAUUGGCGAGUGGAUGCGUGCAGUGUUAAUGGCAGUGGCUUGCUGCGCCUUGCAUUGUUCUGCGUUUACUUGCUGGUGCCCUGUGUUGCGGUGGGACGUCAGAGUCAGUUCGUAUGCUGCGGGAAAUGGUCAUCGAGGAGGUAGGUGCUUGCACUGUUAUAUCUCGGUUGACUAGUCGUCGUGGUUGGGACUGAGGUGCCUACAAUGUGCUUUAACGUCUUGCGGGCGCUCAUUUGAUCAGCUGCUCUGAUAGCUUGCUAUGUUUGCGGUAUGGUCGGGUGAUUGUGUUUGUAAGUAACGUUUGCCGUUCGGGACUUUGACGAA
rnacentral:rRNA from 1 species